rnacentral:snRNA from 8 species
AGAAGAUUAGCAUGGCCCCUGCGAAAGGAUGACACGCAAAUCCGUGAAGCGCUCCUUUUUUUC